AUGAUGCUCAAGCCCCAGGGGACCCGCAAAGGACAGGGGAUCAUUUGGAUGUGGAACUUGGUGGAGCCCACGCCGGCGCCCUGGCUUCUUUAUGCACCUGCCCAGAUGUGUCUGGCUCCCAGCACUCUCACGGAAGUGAAGUCAAGAUCAGGAAUCUCCUCAAGGGUACCCAGAGGCCCUUCGCCUUCCCAGAAGAUCCCCGUUGGCACUAGACUCACCCAGCUUCGCAUGGUGACUGCUAAGUUGACUUCCCACGGAACAGCAGGAGGACCGCCAGGCCCGGAGGUGCCUCAGCCAUGGCCACCUCUUCCUGGUACCUUGCAUGUGACAUUUGCUGCUGUUCAUAAAGACGCGGGACACCAGGCCACACAGACAGCCCCAGAAUCAGGACAAGCCCCUCACCGAGGCUGAUGCAGAAAUGUUCCAGGAAAUGGGUAAAGUGCUCUGCUUACUGUCUGAGUCCUGAGUUCCUAGGGGUGCCAGGUGGUACAAGCUCAAGAUUUAGAGGCAGGGAGAACAUAAAUCUGUUCAGCCAGGGGCCAGGGGAGUUCGGAUUUUGGUGUCUGUUCUCUAAUCAAUAGCAUUAGGCCUUCCCGAUUGAAAGGUCUUAAUUUGAUGGUCUCCCAGAGGAGUCAUUGGUUCUGACUCGGACGUAGGACAUGGCUUCCUGACAACCGUGGAGGCAGGUGCCAGCCUCCCAAAGGAAUGGCCAUGCCGUUCUCUUUCUGUUCUCUUCGGAUCAAGAGCCAGAAACGAGCUGGGUUUCCAUCAUAGCUUCAAAGGCUGGACCUGGAACAGACCCUCGUUAGUUCAACGCCUCUGCCCCUGGAAAGACCACACGAGGUCCUUGGGGGACCACCCUCGCCAGGUGAAAAUAGAUCCUCCUGCCAAACAGAAUCCAGGCUUUCCUUCUCUGAGGAGUCUGACAGAGUGCCCUUCAUUGCAUUUCAAUCAUUCAAGCUGCAGUUUGGGUGUUACCCACUGGUUCUGGUUUCCUUCACAUUUCAGACCUGGUAAGCUCAUCACUGAGGGGUUAGAGAGGGGCCCCUCCAGGUCAAGGAAGAUGGUCUGGGUGGGCUGGUGGUCGGCCCCCCGCGUCGGUACGGAGGAGCCAGGGAAUCAAUAUGCCCCAGUUGCAGCUGAAUUUUCUAGUCGAACCAAACCUCACCAAACCUCAUUCCCUUAUCUGUGAAAUGCAAUCCUACUUCCCAGAAUCACUGGGAAGAUUACGUGAAAUGAUAUAUGGGGAAGCCCCUUCUGAACUUUAAAACAUAGACAUGAAGUGUAGUAUGUAUCCGAUGUUUAUCUGUUUGCCAUCUCUCCCUUUGGGGACCUACCAGUCCCCCAUGUUCUCACUGGUGUGUCAAUCAUAACAGCAGGCCACGGGGAUAGGCAAGUGACCCAGGCCUGGACAAUCACCUCCUCCCUUGGGACCAGUGAUCAGACCAAGAACUGAGCACGUGACCCAAACAGGGCCAAUUAGAGUUCUUGCCUCCAAUUUAUAUAUUUGUGCUAAGAGAUUGAAAAAGCAAAAGAAAAGAUUGUGAUGCAGGGCAUUUGAAGGCUGUCUUCCCUGUCACAAGGGGACAGAAAGCCUUUCUGCCGAUGGAAUAGACAAAUGGAAAUGAGGUCUGGAUGCAGGGAGGCAGAUUUCUGACAGCCCCGGUUCCUGAUUCUGGCUCCUGGUGGUUGGAUACCUGCAGCCCUUCAUUCUUUGAACACUCACAGUUAUUUCCCACUUUGCAAGCCAACACUUUGCUUAAUUCGUUUGAGACGGUUUUCAUUUGUAUGCAACUAAAAAGGGUUAUUCCUGGUCAUUCAUUUUCUGUAGGUUUUCAUUUAUAAUUUAGUCAUUAAUAUAUUUAACAAAGACUUAUUGGCUACAGACACCAUUGUCGUACACAAAGAAUUUGAUCUCUCUUCUUGGUUCCUGGGAGGGAGCUUCUAAACCCUUGAAAGGAAUACAUUUGCUAUUCAUGGCAGGCUCUGGGACCACACCUGGGUGGAGGCUAAAAAGAUGACUCAGGAUGGGGGCGGUCCUUGUCACACUAGAGGGUAAGGUUUUGAGCUGUGUGACUUGGCCUGAAUGUUCCUCAGAGAGAGAUGGACGUUUGGAGAGAGAGUUCAGUCACAUGGCCAAGGAUUCAAUCAUCCCUUUCCACAUAAUAAAACCCCAAUAAAAAUUAUGGGCA
rnacentral:lncRNA from 1 species